rfam:Anolis carolinensis chromosome 4, whole genome shotgun sequence.
GUGAGGGAUGUAAAUACCCUAGAGGCACCAUAUCCCAUAUGAUCUUGGAAGUUAAGAAGAAUUAUUCCUGGUUAGUGCUUGGGUAGGAGACUGCCAAUGAAUCCCAGAUGCUUUAAGCU